rnacentral:rRNA from 1 species
UACGUAGGGUGCAAGCGUUAAUCGGAAUUACUGGGCGUAAAGCGUGCGCAGGCGGUUUUGUAAGACCGAUGUGAAAUCCCCGGGCUUAACCUGGGAACUGCAUUUGUGACUGCAUCGCUGGAGUGCGGCAGAGGGGGAUGGAAUUCCGCGUGUAGCAGUGAAAUGCGUAGAUAUGCGGAGGAACACCGAUGGCGAAGGCAAUCCCCUGGGCCUGCACUGACGCUCAUGCACGAAAGCGUGGGGAGCAAACAGG